AAAGUCAAGAAACUACAUUAUUGCUCAUUAUUGUUAUCUGUUAUUGUUGGCACUUGAAACUUGAAAGUGGUCUCAUGGAAGAGGCUACAUUGUUUGUUGCUCAUUAUUGUUGUUUGUUAUUGUUGACACUUGAAACUUGAAGGUGGUCUCAUGGAAGAGGCUACAUUGUUUGUUGCUCAUUAUUGUUGUUUGUUAUUGUUGGCACUUGAAACUUGAAAGUGGUCUCAUGGAAGAGGCUACAUUGUUUGUUGCUCA